GAUGAACGCUGGCGGCGUGCCUAAUACAUGCAAGUCGAGCGAACGGACGAGAAGCUUGCUUCUCUGAUGUUAGCGGCGGACGGGUGAGUAACACGUGGAUAACCUACCUAUAAGACUGGGAUAACUUCGGGAAACCGGAGCUAAUACCGGAUAAUAUUUUGAACCGCAUGGUUCAAAAGUGAAAGACGGUCUUGCUGUCACUUAUAGAUGGAUCCGCGCUGCAUUAGCUAGUUGGUAAGGUAACGGCUUACCAAGGCAACGAUGCAUAGCCGACCUGAGAGGGUGAUCGGCCACACUGGAACUGAGACACGGUCCAGACUCCUACGGGAGGCAGCAGUAGGGAAUCUUCCGCAAUGGGCGAAAGCCUGACGGAGCAACGCCGCGUGAGUGAUGGAGGUCUUCGGAUCGUAAAACUCUGUUAUUAGGGAAGAACAUAUGUGUAAGUAACUGUGCACAUCUUGACGGUACCUAAUCAGAAAGCCACGGCUAACUACGUGCCAGCAGCCGCGGUAAUACGUAGGUGGCAAGCGUUAUCCGGAAUUAUUGGGCGUAAAGCGCGCGUAGGCGGUUUUUUAAGUCUGAUGUGAAAGCCCACGGCUCAACCGGGGAGGGUCAUUGGAAACUGGAAAACUUGAGUGCAGAAGAGGAAAGUGGAAUUCCAUGUGUAGCGGUGAAAUGCGCAGAGAUAUGGAGGAACACCAGUGGCGAAGGCGACUUUCUGGUCUGUAACUGACGCUGAUGUGCGAAAGCGUGGGGAUCAAACAGGAUUAGAUACCCUGGUAGUCCACGCCGUAAACGAUGAGUGCUAAGUGUUAGGGGGUUUCCGCCCCUUAGUGCUGCAGCUAACGCAUUAAGCACUCCGCCUGGGGAGUACGACCGCAAGGUUGAAACUCAAAGGAAUUGACGGGGACCCGCACAAGCGGUGGAGCAUGUGGUUUAAUUCGAAGCAACGCGAAGAACCUUACCAAAUCUUGACAUCCUUUGACAACUCUAGAGAUAGAGCUUUCCCCUUCGGGGGACAAAGUGACAGGUGGUGCAUGGUUGUCGUCAGCUCGUGUCGUGAGAUGUUGGGUUAAGUCCCGCAACGAGUGCAACCCUUAAGCUUAGUUGCCAUCAUUAAGUUGGGCACUCUAAGUUGACUGCCGGUGACAAACCGGAGGAAGGUGGGGAUGACGUCAAAUCAUCAUGCCCCUUAUGAUUUGGGCUACACACGUGCUACAAUGGACAAUACAAAGGGCAGCGAAACCGCGAGGUCAAGCAAAUCCCAUAAAGUUGUUCUCAGUUCGGAUUGUAGUCUGCAACUCGACUACAUGAAGCUGGAAUCGCUAGUAAUCGUAGAUCAGCAUGCUACGGUGAAUACGUUCCCGGGUCU
rnacentral:rRNA from 1 species